rnacentral:lncRNA from 1 species
UUUAGAAGUCAUUUAAGGCCGGGAGUGGUGGCGCACACCUUUAAUCCCAGCACUCAGGAGGCAGAGUUCCUCCUGAGUUCCAGGCCAGCCUGGUCUACAAAGUGAGUUCCAGGACAGCCAGGGCUAUACAGAGAAACCCUGUCUGGAAAAACCAAAAAGGGAAGAGGAAGAGGAAGAGGAAGAGGAAGAGGAAGAGGAAGAGGAAGAGGAAGAGGAAGAGGAAGAGGAAGAGGAAGAAGUUAUUCACGACUUGCCUAGAUUUCUUGAAUUUUAGCAUCCAUCUUGUCUGUCUGUCUGUCUGUCUGCCUAGAAAACUCAGUGAGGAAAAUUAAAUCUUCAGUACUCUGUUGUGUAAUUCACCCUCAUUUUGAAGGACUGCAUCUUUGCCUUUAUGCUCGCCAACAAAGGAACACUUUUAAUGAGCAUUGCUUGCCAUAGUAAAAUGUUAUGGAUUUGGAAGAGACAACGGCAUGCCUGCAUCCAGGAGCAGAUUCUCUCAGGCUGCGAGGCCACAGCUGUCCCUUAGUAGGACCUAGAUGUUUCACUAACAUUUCCCACUUUACAGAGAUCAUCAGAAUAUUUUAGGAUUCAGAUAAUGGAUCAGAACCCCAA